rnacentral:rRNA from 1 species
GAUGAACGCUGGCGGCGCGCCUAACACAUGCAAGUCGAACGAUUAAAGCACCUUCGGGUGUGUAUAAAGUGGCGAACGGCUGAGUAACACGUGGGCAACCUGCCCCUCUCAUUGGGAUAGCCACGGGAAACCGUGGAUAAUACCGAAUACUCCGAGACUUCCGCAUGGAAGACUCGAGAAAGCUCCGGCGGAGAGGGAUGGGCCCGCGGCCUGUUAGCUUGUUGGUGGGGUAACGGCCUACCAAGGCAAUGAUGGGUAGCUGGGUUGAGAGACCGACCAGCCAGAUUGGGACUGAGACACGGCCCAGACUCCUACGGGAGGCAGCAGUGGGGAAUCUUGCACAAUGGGCGAAAGCCUGAUGCAGCGACGCCGCGUGCGGGAUGAAGGCCUUCGGGUUGUAAACCGCCUUCAGCAGGGACGAGGCGAAAGUGACGGUACCUGCAGAAGAAGCCCCGGCUAACUACGUGC